rnacentral:rRNA from 1 species
AUUGAACGUUGGCGGCGUGCCUAACACAUGCAAGUCGAACGAGAAAGUUUCCUUCGGGAAACCAGUAAAGUGGCGCAAGGGUGAGUAACACGUGAAUAAUCUACCUAUGAAUUCGGGGAUAACUCGACGAAAAGUUGCGCUAAUACCGGAUAAGACCACAUCUCUUAUGUGAUGUGGCCAAAGGAGUCUUAAACUUCGUUUAUAGAUGAGUUCGCGGACCAUUAGCUUGUUGGCGGGAUAAUAGCCCACCAAGGCUACGAUGGAUAGCCGGCCUGAGAGGGCGAUCGGCCACACUGGAACUGAGACACGGGUCCAGACUCCUACGGGAGGCGAGCAGUGGGGAAUAUUGCGCAAUGGGCGAAAGCCUGACGCAGCAACGCCGCGUGAGGGAUG